CCCAUCCCCGGCCGUCGCCGGCAGUGCGAGGCCCGCGGGGGCUACGCCGCGACGAGUAGGAGGGCCGCUGCGGUGCGCCUCGAAGCCUGGGGCGUGGGCCCGGGUGGAGCCGCCGCAGGUGCAGAUCUUGGUGGUAGUAGCAAAUAUUCAAACGAGAGCUUUGAAGGCCGAAGUGGAGCAGGGUUCCAUGUGAACAGCAGUUGAACAUGGGUCAGUCGGUCCUAAGCGAUAGGCGAGCGCCGUUCCGAAAGGGCGGGCGAUGG
rfam:Phalacrocorax carbo contig157339, whole genome shotgun sequence.